rnacentral:rRNA from 1 species
UACGGGGGGAGCAAGCGUUGUUCGGAUUUACUGGGCGUAAAGGGCGCGUAGGCGGUCGUGACAAGUCACUUGUGAAAUCUCCGGGCUUAACUCGGAACGGUCAAGUGAUACUGUCGGACUAGAGUACAGAAGGGGCAACUGGAAUUCUCGGUGUAGCGGUGAAAUGCGCAGAUAUCGGGAGGAACACCCGUAGCGAAGGCGGCACUCUGGGCCGGAACUGACGCUGAGGAGCGAAAGCGUGGGGAGCAAACAGG